UACGUAGGGGGCAAGCGUUGUCCGGAAUUAUUGGGCGUAAAGCGCGCGCAGGCGGUCUUUUAAGUCUGGUGUUUAAGUGCGGGGCUCAACCCCGUGACGCACUGGAAACUGGGAGGCUUGAGUGCAGAAGAGGAGAGCGGAAUUCCACGUGUAGCGGUGACAUGCGUAGAGAUGUGGAGGAACACCAGUGGCGAAGGCGGCUCUCUGGCCUGUAACUGACGCUGAGGCGCGAAAGCGUGGGGAGCAAACAGG
rnacentral:rRNA from 1 species